GCCUCACCGACUCUAUAGAACAAAAUGACUGAUGCUGGGUGUUCAAAAAAUUGGUAGAGUCGGCCCAUCCGAUGCUAUUACUUUUACUUGAAAAAUAUUAAUUCUAUAUUUCCUCUUUUUCUCUCUAUUUUUUUAUUUUUCAGCAAAAACCUUUCCAAAUUCUCUCAUUCAUUCAUCAUUCUCACGUUUCUCUCUUCUUUUUACCUCACUCACAAUAAAAACCCUAAUUUUUUUUUCUUCACUCACCAAACCCUCACUCGUUUGUAAAUCUGAAUUCCUAAACCCAUCAAUCAAAAUCCUCUUUCUCUCCGUUCAUCGUUCUGAGAAUCACCAAACCCAUCCAUGGAAUCCCUCACUCGUAUUCGCUUGUAACCCUCGUUCCUCUUUCCCCUCAAAUGUCACCAAUGAUUCUGAGAACCACUUUUGAAAUAGCGAUUCUCAUACAUCAGCUCUUGUCAGAUCCCAUCGAUUUGAGAGGUUCUCAAACAUGUCUCACUCACCGACGAAAAGGUUUCUAAAAGGUUCAUUUUCUAUUGUGGUAUUGAAUUCUGCUUGUGUGGAAAGCUAUUUGUGAGCUUUGGAAAUCUUUUGACAAAGGACUAUAUAACUCCGAUCAGAAGUUCACCGUCGCCUCUUACAGCACCACUGGAGUGGAAAGUGAUCAAAUAUACAAGGAGCUAGGAUUUGCGGACAGAAUCACACUCAUAUAGCAGUGGAAAAUAAUGUUUGUGUACUAUCAUUGGUAAAACUUUUCAAUUUUUCUUCAUUCCCUCAUAUUUUAAUGAUUUAUAUUCUUAUUUCAUCUCGGUUCUAUUCUCUGUUCUACUUGGUUGAGUGUGUUGCUUGUUUAGAUAUCUUGUAAGAUUCAUAAUUGAUUAAGUGCUAGUCUACUAUGUUGGAAUUCUUGGUCAUAGAAACAAAGCAUCACUACUAAUGUAUGCUUUUUGUUUUAUGUGUUGUUUUUUCUCUAGCUCUUUUCCUGUGUAUUUGUUUCUGGUUUUCUGUUUUUUUAGGUGCAGGCUUAUGGCGUUUUUCCCUUAGUGUAUCCAUCUGUUUGGGAUUAUUGCUGCUACUGGUGCUAGUUUAAUUUUUGCUUUGACACUUUAUUGGUGUUUUGUUGUAGCUAGCUGGGUGUUUUUAAGUUCUUUCUUCUAGUGUUUUGUAGUCCUUUAAUGUUUCUUUGGUUGGGCUUUGGUCUUGUAAUGGUAACGUUUUAGUACACCUUGUAUUCUUAGGUCAAGACUUCUCAUCUCUAGGUAAAAAGUUAUUGUGGUCAAGACUUUGAAGAUCUUGUUCACAAAUGUUUCUUGUUUCUCAAUUAUUUCAUUAUGGCUACUAUCUUUGAGAUGUCAUGCAUGGGAUGAUAUCCCGUAAUCGUAACAAAUGUCUAUCUAGCAUGAUGGGAAUGCAGGUACUGGAUGCAAUUGAGUUAAUGCCAUUUUAUUUUAUAAGAUAGUAUUAAUUUAUUUUGAAUGAUCUAUUAAACCGGUGUAUUUAAAGUUUUCCUAGAUUCAUAGGCAUAUUGGUCCAAGGAUGCAGUAUGAGUUAUACUAAUGACAUUAUUUUUGUCGCAUUUCUAAGUUAUCAAUUGUAUCAAUUGUAUAAAUACAAUUGUGUUCUUGGCUUUCUUUUAUGCCUUUGACUCUUUAUCUUUGGUUUUGAUGACCUUAAUGAGUACAUUGGUAGAGAUUUUAUGAUUGUUAUCUUUGGUUUUGAUAUUUUAAUGAAUAUAUUGGUAGAGAUUUUAUGGUUGUGAGAAA